CUUAAGGCUUUUAGAUAUUUUUUGAAAUGAGAUAAAGUGCUGAAACGGAAGAAGUUAUACUAAAAUUAUAACAGGAAGAAAAAUAAUAACGAAGCGGAAGAAAAGUUAUAAAAAGACUAAAGAGAAGAGAGAAUAGGCUGCUGGCCACGUGAGGCUGUGAAUAAAUCUCAAACUAGUGAUAGUACCAAUCGUAAACUAAAAGAAACCUUCAGGCGAAGGUUUUUUUAUUUUCCGCUAGGAAUAUCAGGGAGUUGACAGGAGUCCUCCCCAGCGUCCGUCGGCAAAGUUUAACGCCCGGCGCCCUCAACCCGUUCAUUACCAACAACCGUCACCAGCCAAUUUUCCGCUAGACAGCUCCUUGGUGACGACCAAGUGGUAGCUAAGCGACCAUCUUCGUCGUCGUGGGACCCAGCAAGAAACCAGCAAACAGGUUAGAUUUAAAAAAAAACCGCAUGCGCGACAAAGUUGUACAGGGUCGAUAAAGAAGGGAAGACGAAAAUAAAUGAGUACGCACUGUA